UACGGGGGGUGCGAGCGUUGUCCGGAAUCACUGGGCGUAAAGGGCGCGUAGGUGGUCUGAUAAGGGCGUGGUGAAAGCCCGGGGCUCAACCCCGGGUCGGCCGUGCCGACUGUUGGACUAGAGUGCUGUAGGGGCAGGCGGAAUUCCGGGUGUAGCGGUGGAAUGCGUAGAGAUCCGGAGGAAGACCGGUGGCGAAGGCGGGUCUCUGGGCCGAUACUGACGCUGAGGAGCGAAAGCGUGGGGAGCGAACAGG
rnacentral:rRNA from 1 species